GCGCGAAAAAUCCAUCGUUUUAUCAAGCUUUGUACAAACAUUUCAUGAUUUUUUUUCAACUACUAAAUAUAUUACAACACACUACCCAUUUUCGAAUUUUUCAUCGAAGAGCCCAAGUGACCGUAUUGAACUAAAUAAGUCUGUGAAAAAUUUCAAUAAAAAACCGUAAGUUAUACAAAAUGUAUGAAUAAAAAUCGAUUGAUAUCUAAUAUACGACGCGACACUUUUG